GAUGAACGCUGGCGGCGUGCCUAAUACAUGCAAGUCGAGCGAACAGACGAGGAGCUUGCUCCUCUGACGUUAGCGGCGGACGGGUGAGUAACACGUGGAUAACCUACCUAUAAGACUGGGAUAACUUCGGGAAACCGGAGCUAAUACCGGAUAAUAUAUUGAACCGCAUGGUUCAAUAGUGAAAGACGGUUUUGCUGUCACUUAUAGAUGGAUCCGCGCCGCAUUAGCUAGUUGGUAAGGUAACGGCUUACCAAGGCAACGAUGCGUAGCCGACCUGAGAGGGUGAUCGGCCACACUGGAACUGAGACACGGUCCAGACCCCUACGGGAGGCAGCAGUAGGGAAUCUUCCGCAAUGGGCGAAAGCCUGACGGAGCAACGCCGCGUGAGUGAUGAAGGUCUUCGGAUCGUAAAACUCUGUUAUUAGGGAAGAACAAAUGUGUAAGUAACUAUGCACGUCUUGACGGUACCUAAUCAGAAGGCCACGGCUAACUACGUG
rnacentral:rRNA from 1 species